CAGCAGCCACGGUAAUACAGAGGGUGCGAGCGUUAAUCGGAUUUACUGGGCGUAAAGCGUGCGUAGGCGGCUAAUCGAGUCGGAUGUGAAAUCCCCGAGCUUAACUUGGGAAUUGCAUUCGAUACUGGUUAGCUAGAGUGUGGGAGAGGAUGGUAGAAUUCCAGGUGUAGCGGUGAAAUGCGUAGAGAUCUGGAGGAAUACCGAUGGCGAAGGCAGCCAUCUGGCCUAACACUGACGCUGAGGUACGAAAGCAUGGGGAGCAAACAGGAUUAGAUACCCCAGUAGUCCCUGUCUCUUAUAC
rnacentral:rRNA from 1 species